rnacentral:rRNA from 1 species
UACGAAGGGGGCUAGCGUUGCUCGGAAUUACUGGGCGUAAAGCGCACGUAGGCGGCUUAGCAAGUCGGAUGUGAAAUCCCUCGGCUCAACCAAGGAAGUGCAUCCGAAAACUGCUGAGCUUGAGUACUUAAGAGGAUCGCGGAAUUCCCGGUGUAGAGGUGAAAUUCGUAGAUAUCGGGAGGAACACCAGUGGCGAAGGCGGCUACCUGGACCGGUUCUGACGCUGAUGCGCGAAAGCGUGGGUAGCAAACAGG